rnacentral:lncRNA from 1 species
GGAUUUUGAAAUUCGAAUACUAAUCGGACGAAUUCGGAUUAUCCGGAUACUAAUCAAAUUCGAAUUCGGAUACAGGGGUAUCCGGUUCGAAUUCGUUCGAUUGACAGGGCUAAUUACAUUGCUUUGUGUUGGAAGAGAUAUAAUUUCAGUAGAGCUUGAGGGUGGACAGUAUCUCACAAUAUCCGUAGACAUAUCUGUUCUUUCAUACAAUUGGGCCAAAGCAAAAGCCUCCACUAAAUUUCCAGGUCUUGCUCUAGUCACGUCCUUCUGAAUUUCUAAUUUUAAACCAGACAUAAACAUUUCUUUUAAUGUAUUUGGAGUAAUAUCAGUUACCUUGUUUGCUAAUCUAUCAAAGUUGUGUUGAUAUUCUUUUACAAAUCCCGUUUGAGUCAGUUUGCUCAGUCUACCUGCAGGUAUUUCGUAUGCCGCAUUCCCAAAUCUUCUAAUCAAAUCAUCAAGAAAAUCAUACCAUGACUUCAAGGCAUUAUUAUUAUCUGCCCAUAAAAGCCACUCCAGAGCUUCACCUUCCAUAUUGAAGGUAGCAACGGUAAUUCUUUCUUCAUCCGAAAUAUUAUGAUAUCUCAAAUAUUUCUUUGCCUUGUAGAUCCAUCUUUGGACAUUUUCUCCGUCGAAUUUUGGCAUUUCAGUCCUGAUUGAUUUAGAUCUCUGUUCAGACUUCAAGUGUAUCUGAGCAUCAGGAUUACUAAGCAACAUUCGAGAUUCAUUCAUCUUUGCUAAGGUAGGUUCCAUAUUUCUCAUUCUCUCAGCUCUAUAUCUUAUUUAAUUUGAAGCCUCUUGAGUUGGGUCUCCACAGGUUCAGCCAUCUCAGAAUAAUUAGUAAUCUGAAAUACAAAUUUUUGAAUAAGAAUGAUAGCAAGAAUGUAUUAGGGUAGAUAGAUACGUCCCUUUAACGGAUCUGUUAAGCACAGAACACGCUUUUGAAGAGUUGGUUAGUAUUUUUUUUAAGAAUACAAAUCCUCUUGCUUUCUUCUUCUUCUAGAUCUGCAAUGAUAGAUCUAUUCAAUAUGUGCUUAAUAUUGUAAAUAGAGAAUAAGGUACGUCCCUGUCGUGGAUCUGUUUAGCACAGCACACGCUUUGGAGAGAUUUCCCCCCCCCCAGUAUUUUCAAGGAAUACUAAUCCUUCUUCUGAUGAUCUUCUGCAGUGAACUUGGAGUUGCAGGACAGAAGUAGCACCUCGCCGGCGGAAGGAGUUGAAAGCACCACUAAUAGAGAAUGGUGGGCGGCUGAUCCAAGAACAAUUAAAAGAAAUAGUGUUUCUUGAAUAUUGGGUUGCUUCAACCCUAAACCCCUUUGUUGAUUUAAAACUUGAUUGAUUAAAUUGAGAAAUAAAAGUACUUCCCUUUUAUAGGGUACAACUUAAUAGAACAUGCUAACUAAAUAGUUCCAUAGGGACAUAGUAACAUAAAAAUAACUAAACUAUUCCACCGAUUAAGCUUGCCUAAUCAAGAGCCU